CGCGUCGACGUCAUAAGCGGCGCGACCUGCAGGCGGCGCGUUUGCUUCGCGUCAGGCCUGGGUCUCGGUGUCAGCUCAGGCCGGAGCGCGACCCUGGCUUUGUGGUCUCCGUGGCGGGUUGGGCCCUGAGCCGCCGCCGAGGCAUGUGGGCGCUCGUGGGGCGGGCUCUCGCGCCGUGGGCCGCCGGGGCCCGGCACGCGGCUGCCUCGGAGCCCAGGGCCGCCUGCAGGCUCUUCAGCGCGGCCGAGCUCAAGGAGAAACCUGACAUGUCUAGAUUUCCUGUUGAAGACAUUAGAAAUUUCAGUAUCAUUGCACAUGUGGAUCAUGGCAAAAGCACUUUAGCUGACAGGCUCCUGGAGCUAACAGGAACAAUUGAUAAGACGAAGAAAAACAAGCAGGUUCUUGAUAAAUUACAAGUAGAACGAGAAAGAGGAAUCACUGUGAAGGCGCAGACAGCCUCUCUGUUUUACAGCUUUGGAGGGAAACAGUACCUUUUAAACCUCAUCGACACACCAGGCCACGUUGAUUUUAGUUAUGAAGUGUCCAGGUCACUGUCUGCAUGCCAAGGUGUUUUACUGGUAGUGGAUGCAAAUGAGGGUAUUCAAGCUCAAACUGUGGCCAACUUCUUCCUUGCUUUUGAAGCACAGCUGUCAGUAAUUCCAGUUAUCAAUAAGAUAGAUCUGAAGAAUGCUGACCCUGAAAGGGUGGGAAAGCAGAUUGAAAAAGUAUUUGAUAUCCCUAGUGAGGAGUGUAUUAAGAUUUCUGCGAAACUUGGGACAAACGUUGACAGUGUGCUUCAGGCAGUCAUUGAACGAAUACCUCCUCCAAAAGUCCAUCGUGAAAACCCACUGAAAGCUUUGGUAUUUGACUCCACCUUUGACCAGUACAGAGGGGUGAUAGCCAAUAUAGCACUGUUUGAUGGAGUGGUUUCCAAGGGAGAUAAAAUUGUAUCUGCACAUACUAAAAAAGCAUAUGAAGUCAAUGAAGUAGGCAUUUUGAAUCCUAAUGAACAGCCAACUCAUAAAUUAUAUGCAGGACAGGUGGGCUUUCUGAUUGCUGGGAUGAAAGAUGUCACUGAAGCACAAAUAGGAGACACAUUAUAUUUACAUAAUCAUCCAGUGGAACCCUUGCCUGGGUUUAAAUCAGCGAAACCAAUGGUGUUUGCAGGAGUGUACCCUAUAGACCAAUCUGAGUACAAUAACCUGAAGAGUGCUAUAGAAAAACUGACCUUAAAUGACUCAAGUGUAACAGUGCAUCGGGAUAGUAGUCUGGCCCUGGGUGCUGGCUGGAGGUUGGGGUUUCUUGGACUUUUACAUAUGGAGGUUUUCAACCAGCGAUUAGAGCAAGAAUAUAACGCUUCUGUCAUUUUGACAACCCCAACUGUUCCAUACAAAGCUGUUCUUUCCUCUGCAAAAUUAAUAAAGGAAUAUAAAGAGAAGGAGAUCACAAUCAUCAACCCUGCACAGUUCCCUGAGAAGUCCCAAGUAACAGAAUAUUUGGAACCUGUUGUUUUGGGCACUGUUAUUACACCGACUGAGUACACUGGAAAAAUAAUGGCGCUUUGUCAGGCACGAAGAGCAAUUCAGAAAAAUAUGACUUUUAUUGAUGAAAAUAGAGUUAUGCUUAAAUAUCUCUUCCCUUUGAAUGAAAUUGUGGUAGAUUUUUAUGACUCUUUGAAGUCUCUCUCUUCUGGAUAUGCAAGCUCUUGAAGACAGUUCAGAAUCAUAAGGCUAGGAAGCUUGGGGCAUUACAGAUAUUAAAUAGAACCUGACAUCCUUCUAGGAGAAAAAGGACUUACGGUUUUUCAGACUGUUACUCUCUGAAAAAGAAGCACCCUCAUCAGUAAGAGGCUAUAGCCCUGUGGCUUAAGAGUUGGAAAUAUCUGUGACUAAAUAACAUUUAAAUAUAUAUAUUAAUUGAUCCAUGGGGCAUGUACUUUUAUUUGAAAAAUUGAUAUAAAUAUUGAGUAUGAAGAAUGCUAAAUAUGUUCUGCACUUAACAAUAUUGUAGUCAAGAACAGGUCCUCCCAGAAAUAUGUGCUCCAUCCAAUAAAAAUCUGUGUAUCUUAAGGGAAUCCAUGAAACCUAGCCAAAUAAAAAUAUGAGUUGAGUGUUAAUGGCAAGAAGCCUUUUAUACUGCCUUUGGCUACAGUGGCUUUAUGAGUUAAACGUUUGAGUAGCACUGUUAACUUGGACCACCCUGGUGAUAGCAGCUAACAUGAGUGCUUGUUUGUCUUUGAUGAAGCUUGGCUGUAACUACUCAGCGUGUACUAGAUUCACAUGUGCUACAUGCCUUUCGGUCCUGACCAAAACUAGUGUUCAAACUGCAGAGGUGUGCAGGAAAGCCCAGUGCCCUUUCUUCCUGCUGUUCUCAGUGCACUAGCUACAUGGGUUGUCACUGGCAACAGAAAACUCACAGCGACCUUUAAACUAGAGCUAGUGGACAUCACCGCGGCUGGCAGUGUGAGAAAGGGGCUCGUUUGGUUUUGGUGAUGGAUUUUCCUAAUGCAUCUCAGCCCAGCCGGUUCCGCUUCCUUCUCUCGGGACUUAGAGUCCCUGGACUCAGCGCCUUAGCAUUUGGUUCUUUACUGUGGGCAUACACAUCCUUUAUAUGAAACUUCGUGUGUGGUCAUAAUUUUAUCAAGUUUCUUCAUGGGAGAGCGGGGAAUGGAGGUUGUAAGGAAAAAGGAGUUUGCUGAGUGUAAUCUGACAGUAUCACGCUUGUCCAUGUUCUCUUGUCCUUGUUAGUUUUGAUUAUGAAGAUGCCGGUUACCAGACUGCAGAACUCGUUAAAAUGGAUAUUCUGCUGAAUGGAAAUAUGGUGGAAGAGCUUGUAACUGUGGUCCAUAGAGAGAAAGCCUACACUGUUGGCAAAAGCAUAUGUGAACGCCUGAAGGAGUCUCUUCCCAGACAACUGUAUGAGAUAGCAAUUCAAGCUGCUGUUGGGAGCAAAGUUAUUGCAAGAGAAACAGUGAAAGCCUACAGAAAAAAUGUUUUGGCAAAAUGUUAUGGUGGUGAUAUUACCCGGAAAAUGAAACUUCUGAAGAGACAGUCCGAAGGGAAAAAGAAGCUGAGGAAGAUUGGCAACAUUGAGAUUCCAAAAGACGCUUUCAUAAAAGUCCUGAAAACCCAGCCUAAUAAAUGACUCAAGGGCAGCAGGUGUUCUCUGUUCCUUCUCAUUUAUAGUGACAGCAGAAUGAAAAGUCUGAGAUGCAUAUUACUUCCAGGGUCUUCAACUAUGACCUGCUUCAGUGGUUCUCAACCUUCCCAAUGAUGCCACCCUUUAAUAUAGUUCCUCAUGUUGUGGUGACCCCAGACAUAGAAUUAUUUUUUGUUGCUACUUCAUAACGUUAAUUUUGCUACUUUUAUGGAUCAUGAUGUAAUAUACUAAUGUAAAAUGAGUAUGUCUGAUAUGCGACCUCUGUGAAAGGGUUGUUGGACCCUAGUUGAGAAGUGCUGGCUUGUUGGUAGAGAAGAGGUUAAAUGUAUGCUACAUUGCUUGUUCUCUCUCAUGUUCUACGACUCACUAGUAAUCUCCACAGAACUCCUUACCUAAGACUGAGAUUGUGUUACUACACCGCCUCACAGGUAACUUUGGAAAUUAAAGGAGGUUAAUACAUUUUCAAUAUUCAUGAGGGGCAGGCAGAGUAUGUUAUACAUUUAAUCACAGUGAAUUUUAAACUUCCCUUACACUUUUUGUUUUUUGUUUUUAGUGUCUUGAGACAGAGUUCUGCCAUGUAGCAUGGCUAGCCCAGUGUCUUCAGUAGGGGUUGACACCAGUGAUUGCAGCGACUCUUAGGAAGGAAAGCCUUUAUUUCUCUGGGGCUGGCUUAUUGUUUUAAAGGGUUAUAGUCCAUUAUUGUCAGAGUGAGAAGCAUUAUUGCAGGUAGACAUGGUGCUGGAGAAGUGGCUGGGAGUUUGUACAGGCAGCAGCAGGAGACUGUCACACCAAGCCUAGCUUGAGCAUAGGAGACCUCAAAGCUUGAUUCUAUAGGGACACAGUGCCAUUCCCCCUGAUAGUACCAUUCCCUGUGGGCCAAGCAUUCACACAUGAGUCUUUGGGGACCAUUUCUGCUCAAACCACCACAUACCUCAAGCUUGUGACCAUCUUUCCACCUCAGCCUUCUCAUUGUUGGGAUUUUACAGCCAUUUGCUACUGUCUUCAACUUGGUGCGGGCUUUCUUACAGAUGCUAAAAGGAGCCCUAAUUGCAUCUAGUAGCAACUUUCUGGAAUCACCUUGUAUUACAGUUUUUAGCUCAAAUGCUUGAUCUGAUAUGACUUGCUUUUUAAGAUAUAGACUCAAUGUCUUACUAGACAUUUGUUGUUUUUUUAUGCCUAUACAUUGAAUCAAGCAUUUCUGUAUCUUGUUUUUUAUGAGUACAUUCCUGCAAAAUGCCAUAAUUUGAUAUUAGCAGCAGCUGUUAAUAAAUUAGAAGCUAUUAACUAAACAUACCUAAAUGACACAGCUAAUAAAUGGAUUAGUUUCAUGUUCAUAACAAACUGAAAAAUACAUUACUCCAAGAAAAAGUCUUGAUACUGGAUUUUAUUUUCUGCCGUCUGUCUUGAGCAUGACAUAAAUCUGGUAGGAAAAAAGGUUACAGAUGAGUCUUAGCAUUUUGGUGGGAUUUUAAAGUGAGGAUUUAUAAGUUAGGUAGCCUUAGUUUGUCCUAUUACAUAAACCAUCUCACUUCUCCCAGCUUGAUUUGCUAGGUAUAAAAUAAGUUCCCACUGCAGUAUCUUUUUAAAAUGGCAAUAUAUUUGAAACUAAGACAAUGCAAUUUUUAAAAUGUUGUUCUUAUAUUAUUGGUAAGGGAAAGUUAAAAAACUGGUGUAAUCUCUACCGUGUAGUGCUUGAGCUACUUUAGAUAUGGGCUAUUCUUUAACCCAUAAUUCUUUAGGAAUUAACGUUGUAGUAACAGGAGAAAACAUUUGCUAGGCUGAAUUUUGAGUUAUAUAACUUGAGCUUAUUCCUUCGGGUUCUAGAAUCACAAUUUGUAUAGUCGUAUGACAAAAAAAUAAUUGCCACUUAAUAAAUUUGGUAUGGGUUGCCAGUA